rnacentral:snRNA from 1 species
CCCAGCUUGAAAAUCGGACG